rnacentral:rRNA from 1 species
GACGAACGCUGGCGGCGUGCCUAAUACAUGCAAGUAGAACGCACAGUUUAUACCGUAGCUUGCUACACCAUAGACUGUGAGUUGCGAACGGGUGAGUAACGCGUAGGUAACCUGCCUGGUAGCGGGGGAUAACUAUUGGAAACGAUAGCUAAUACCGCAUAAUAUUAAUUAUUGCAUGAUAAUUAAUUGAAAGGUGCAAUUGCACCACUACCAGAUGGACCUGCGUUGUAUUAGCUAGUAGGUGAGGUAACGGCUCACCUAGGCGACGAUACAUAGCCGACCUGAGAGGGUGAACGGCCAAGCUGGGACGGAGACACGGCCCAGACUCCUACGGAAGGCAGCAGUAGGGAAUCUUCGGCAAUGGACGAAAGUCUGACCGAGCAACGCCGCGUGAGUGAAGAAGGAUUUCGGAUCGUAAAACUCUGUUGUAAGAGAAGAACGGGUGUGAGAGUGGAAAGUUCACACUGUGACGGUAUCUUACCAGAAAGGGACGGCUAACUACGUA